UAGGCAAGGAGCAUGCAGGUGUUAUCGGUAUCGAUUUCAACAAAGAUCAAUUACUGGAUCUUAACGAAGAUAUGAUGCAAUCAGAGCAGCAAGCCUUGGAUGCGCCAGCAACGAAAGAGGAUUUGGAAACGGGCUCACUGGGCCAACAAGACGGAAUGGGAAGUGAAUCAAGCAAACCAUAUGGGGGGCAGAACAAAUUGUUCGUAUACGUGCAGAGGAACGGUGAUGACGACUAAACGGCAGCCAGAUCUCGUGCAUUGUGUUGAAUCUUGCUUAGCAAAGCUGCUGCGGCUGGAUCUGGCAUCCAGGCCAAGUGCUCCAUGUGUUCACGCUGCACUGAAGCUCGAGCUCCUGCCUCUGGGUGCGCAAGCUGCAGUGCUUCCUUGAGGGAGCAUCACUUGUUCUUGUGCAUUGCCUCAAUAAGCAGUAACCGGUGGAGGGCGAUGCUAGGCAUCACAGCACAAUGCCGGCCAAGAGUUGGAUCAAGUCAGGUGCGCAAGGGAAGCACUCGACCUCUCAUCUAGCCCAACCUGCAGUCCUCCACAUAUGUCAUAGAGCAAAGAGCACGUGUGUAACAAUUACUAUUAUU